GUUUUUACAGGAGUAGAAUAUGUGCUUGCAUCUCUGGGUUAUUUGUGGGGCAUAGGAAUUUGUUCAUUUCCCCCCGCUUCAAAAUAUAGUCCAGCCCCCCACAAGGUCUGAGGGGCCCUGCUGAAAAAGUUUGCUGACCCCUGCUCUAGGUGGUGGUGGUGGAAAUGGAGACCAUCAAGAGAAACAUCACAAAAAAUGCCGCCGCUUGUGACUCUCUCACCUUUAUUUCAUGUUUUCUUUUUCCUAUAAAACUCCUCCAUAAAUUUCACAAAUUUAACAAAAAAAAAGGCGUAAAAGUCAGGACAAAAAAAACCCAAUCCCUUAACUUAUUACAAACAUUCCCCCCCACCACCCCUCCCGCCUUUCCAGGUUUCAUUUCGGAAUAAUGGGCUAGGUUUAUUUAUUACACCAGAGCAAAGAAAUCCCCUUCCCUUCCCUGCCCCGCCCCCAGCCCCAAAGUACUUUUAAUAUCCUCUGUACAUAGACCAGGUAUUUAAUACCUUUGCUUCCAGCAGAAGACAGCCUUAAAAAAAUUACACACCAGCAAGAGGAUCAAGUACUCAGUCGCUUCCUUCAAGAGUGCAAAACUCCCACCUCUUUUUUUUUGUUUUGUUCUCAAGGCCUUUACACACUCAUGACACCCCCACCCGCAGCCAAUUAAAAUUAGAUAUGUGUUAUGACUAUUCAAGGAGCAUGGUUAGGGAUAUGUGUACUUUACAAUAAAAAGGGAGGGGGAAUCUGAAUACUGCAACCUGUAUAUGUUAUAUGCAAUUUUUCUUAAUCAAUUUGCAUAUUCUUCUGGUAUUGCUAAUCAUGGGGGGUGGCAAAGAGAUAUGAAAAGCCCCUCCCGUAACCACAGGAAACCUUAGCUAGCCCUCACCACCUACUGGUAAGAAUACGAACUGGAAUCUUGCCGAUUUCAAUUUCUUCUCUUUUUUUUGGAAAAAAGGAAAGUCCUGAGAUUCUCAGGAAGAUUAAUUCCGGAACCGACAGCACCUUUCAAACUCAGUUCUGCUCUAGCACGAAAUGGCAGUGGACACACAACUUUUAACACGACGGACAGAUCUUCCUAGGAUGCUUCGAAGACCAGAAGCAUCUCCCGAUUGCGCCCGGGGAGCGCAGAUCUGGCCAUAAUUAAAAACACUUUAAAAAUCCUAUUUCUUUCCAUGGGUGGGCGCAACUCCCCUGUUGAAGUAGCAGCAGUGUUUCAAAAAAAUCACCAAAGUGGAAACAGACUGGAGAGCACUUUUGGCUUGCUGUUUGGACAGAACAUGGGGGUGGGGGGCAAACUUCACGGAGGGCAGAACUUUUCUUUGGAGACGGGUCCCACUUUGAGCGAUGAACUCAGACCCUCAUCUCUUCCCAACAGCUGGGGGGAGAGGACAGAGCAGCUGAAAUGGGUAACGGAACAGCUGCGUCUCUCUCAGCUGGUUCCAAGGUUCUUGUGGCUAAAACGCUUCCUGUAAGUCAUGGGUACAGCAGAUGGAAGCUCUCUAAAUCUCUGCUGAGUACCAGGAAUGGACACCAGGCCUGCGGGGAAACCCAAAUGAAUUUGGAGCACAAAUCUUUCCUCCUGCCUGGCACAUUUAAAAAGGGGAAGUCUGGGGGGAAAUGGGGGGGAGGGAACCAAACACUUUUGAAAUAUUUGUUCUGAGCAAUAGCUAAAAUUAGCAUUUGUUGCAUUAAAAAGGGUGUUCCCCACUAGAAACAAAACAUUUCUUCCAUUUCUACUGUUCCUCAGCUCAAGCAGAACUUGCAUUCUGGCUGAAUUGCACCGUCAGUUUGUUCCUAUUUUCAUCUUCAAUCCUAUUUGCUAAGUGGCAAAAAAGAGACCAGGCUUAAAAAAACAAUCUGGUAGAUGAAGCCAAGCUGCGAGAACAGCCCACCAAUUUCAUCAGUUAGCCUUGGGAGGCAGCCAGCUGAAAUGGCACAGCUACUGGGGCCUGACAUAAGGCCAGGUUGCUCCCCCCCCAGAUCACAGAAGGCCGGGAUCUCAUUUGACAUGGCAGAGAGUCUCAAAGGCCAAACUUCAUCUACCGUAUUUUUCGCUCUAUAAGACGCACUUUUCCCCCUCCAAAAAUUAAGGGGAAAUGUGUGUGCGUCUUAUGGAGCGAAUGCAGGCUCCUUGGCUUCGGCGAUAGCAACGCGAAGCCUCCGAAGCACAGAGGGAGAGCUCCCCCCGCGCUCCGGAGGCUUUGCGUUGCUUUCGCUGAAGCCGCCUGAAGCCCCCGGAGCUCAGCGGGAACUCCCACUGCGCUCCGGAGACUUCAGGCAGCUAUCCGCAAGCCUUUGGAGCGCAGCAGGAGUUCCCGCUGCGCUCUGAAGGCUUGCGGAUAGCCGCCUGAAGCCCCCGGAGCGCUUCCCUCUUGCUCUCCAGGCUUCGCUUCGCUGGAGAGGCGCUGCACAGUUUUCCCUCUCUGCGCAGCACCCCUUCAGCGAAGCGGGAGGAGAAAUGGAAGGGGCUCCUUUUUCUUUUUUCCUGUUCACCCCCUCCUAUGGUCCGGUGCGUCCUAUAGAGCGAAAAAUACAGUAUUUCCUGAGCGCCUCCAAAGCUCCGCAUGACUGUAGGGUCUGCCUCCUUUCUUCCAUACCACACUUGUCAGAAUAUUAUACAUGUGCUCAGCGCUUUUUUUUAUUUCAUAAAACUGUAUGCACUGCUUGAUUGUAAAAACCUCAGAGUGGUUUGCGGACCCUUGAAGCAAGCCUUUAAGUUGCCACUCUACAGUGUUGCAUUUCUGCUUUUAAAAGAGAGCCCUUUAUCGCCCCAGACCUACCCGUUAAAUCUUAGCAGUGCACAGAUGUCUUAAGAACCUCCAGAUUGUAACACUGCCACAGGGGAUCAUACAAGCAGCCGUUUAGAUGCCCGAAUCAGGUCCUGUGCAGCUGUUAACACUGAAACGUAUCUUUAAUAAUUAUUUGAAUGGAAAACGGAAAGAGCCCAUGCUUAUAGCUGUAGGAUUUUGUGCUCCGAGAUGUAUAGAAUUCAUUCCAGACUCUUUUUAAAGUGGCAGCAUUGCAUAUAUUUUGCUUUCCCCCAAAUUUCUCUUAAAAACAAAAC